GGGGAAAAUAACUCAGAUAUUGCAAUAUGGUCUACCGCUUACAUGCAUAUAGCUAAAAGUUGUAAUUUGGUAAAUUUUAUUUUUAGAACCCAGUUGACCGUUAUGCUGAUAACAGCUGCUUCGUAUUACAUUGGAGUUCUGUACGCAUCGAUUUUCGUCAAUUUACAGAUGAGAACGACUGCAAAGCGAUGAGGAAUUUAUUACGGCAGUUGAAUAUGAAAUCAGUUCGCAUUGAAGCUUACGGCACCGUCGCUAUAGACAUGACACUGAUGCCUACAUUUGUGGCUUUCGUUACAUCGUAUACUAUCAUCGCACUUCAAUUCAAUAAUGUCGUAUAAUAAAUAAAAACAGCAUGCUGUCACAGAAAUAUUUUAAAUUAAUAAC
rnacentral:misc_RNA from 1 species